CGGAGUGGCGGACGGGUGAGGAAUACAUCGGAAUCUACUUUUUCGUGGGGGAUAACGUAGGGAAACUUACGCUAAUACCGCAUACGACCUACGGGUGAAAGCAGGGGAUCUUCGGACCUUGCGCGAUUGAAUGAGCCGAUGUCGGAUUAGCUAGUUGGCGGGGUAAAGGCCCACCAAGGCGACGAUCCGUAGCUGGUCUGAGAGGAUGAUCAGCCACACUGGAACUGAGACACGGUCCAG
rnacentral:rRNA from 1 species